ensembl:antisense si:dkey-103j14.4 si:dkey-103j14.4
GUGGUUUUUAGCAGGUGUGGUAUACUGCUAUAAGGUUGUUUACACGAGUUAGUUGGCGCAAGCCGAAAGUACACAAGACUUCGCAAAAUACACGGAAAUAAUGCGAUAAAACCAAACGCUGCCACUGUUUGAGAGUGAAGAGUUCGAUUGGAUAGGCCUGUUUGAGAUUUAGCUGAGACGCCAAAAGUGCAGGAUGUCCUCUUUAACGGAGGCCCAGGCCAUGCGUGGAGUGGUGAAGCUGGCGGUCCAGUCGCCCGUGGAGGACAGAAGGACAGCUCCUCCACAUCCCUUCACCCUCUGGCUCAUGUACUGCAGCGAGGCUUCAGCGGCGCCUACGGCUGAUUUCCCUGCAUUGCACAAGAAAACACUCAAGUAUGUGUCAGUGUCAGCAAAGUUAGCAGCAGAACUUUAUCUCCCUGCCAUCCCAUUUAUUUUUGCUGUACUUUAUCACAAGCAUUUCCUGUCAGGCUUGUACAUUGAGGAUAAAAUAUAGAACUGCAUAAAUAGAUGGUAGGGAUUUUAAGGUUUAAUAAGGCAGUAAAAAUCGUAUAAUGCAGUAACACCUGUUACUGUCAUAAACCAAUGCGGUAUUAUCCACCAUUAUAAGGAUUUUAUUCACUAUUCAAUAAGAUAUUGUUAUUAUUAUUAUUAUUAUUAUUAUUAUUUUAUAUUCAAUAAAGUAUCCUGAAAAAAGAAGUGUUUUCCCAAACAUAUUGAGCAGAAUAACUAUUACCCUUGAGCAUCAGAUCAGAUUUUGAAAUGAUAUCAGGAACUUCAGCUUUGCCAACACAAGAAUAAGUUACAAUUUUAAAAA